rnacentral:rRNA from 1 species
CCUACGGGUGGCAGCAGUGGGGGAUAUUGCACAAUGGGGGGAACCCUGAUGCAGCGACGCCGCGUGGGUGAAGAAGCGCCUCGGCGCGUAAAGCCCUGUCAGCAGGGAAGAAAAUGACGGUACCUGAAGAAGAAGCCCCGGCUAACUACGUGCCAGCAGCCGCGGUAAUACGUAGGGGGCAAGCGUUAUCCGGAUUUACUGGGUGUAAAGGGGGCGCAGACGGCGAUGCAAGCCAGGAGUGAAAGCCCGGGGCCCAACCCCGGGACUGCUCGUGAAACUGCGUGGCUGGAGUGCAGGAGGGGCAGGCGGAAUUCGAGGUGUAGGGGGGAAGUGCGGAGAUAUAGGGAGGAA